rnacentral:tRNA from 1 species
GGUAUCGUUUAAUGGUAGGACUUCAGCCUUCCAAGCUGAUAAUGUGAGUUCGAUUCUCAUUACC